rnacentral:rRNA from 1 species
UACGAAGGGGGCUAGCGUUGUUCGGAAUCACUGGGCGUAAAGCGCACGUAGGCGGGCCGUUAAGUCGGGGGUGAAAUCCUGGAGCUCAACUCCAGAACUGCCUUCGAUACUGGCGGCCUUGAGUCCGGGAGAGGUGAGUGGAACUGCUAGUGUAGAGGUGAAAUUCGUAGAUAUUAGCAAGAACACCAGUGGCGAAGGCGGCUCACUGGCCCGGUACUGACGCUGAGGUGCGAAAGCGUGGGGAGCAAACAGG